AUGACGGAAACCCUCUUAGGUUCACUUACCCCCAAAUUUCUUACAGACCAAAAUCAUUCCUUCAUUCUGCGUGAACCCAUUUUGGUCAGCCGCCUCAGCUCCGAAGGUCACGCAAUUUUGCAGACAAAAUUUUUCUCCUCAGCUCACGCAAUUUUGCUCUACUGUGCCUCAGAUUUUUCCUCCGUCGGCGCCGUAAGUCCCCUACGCUCACGCUGUUGUGGUCUCGAUCUCCUUGACCUCCAAUGCAUUGCAUAAAAUGUUGAUUUUGGAAGUUUGGUACCAUGAGUCUUUUGUAAAGGUUAAAGUACCUGGGGGCGAGGGAAGCCAUCCAUAAUUGUUGACAUUGACAAGGAUGAAGGUCUAAGUUCGAUGCUGCAAAAUUGAGAAAACUCAGACCGAAUUUCAAGUAGAGCAGGGGCUCUGUUACAGCUGGCAAUGCUUCUAUCAUAAGUGAUGGUGUGGCUGCAUUAGUCCUAGUGAGUGGAGAGAAAGCACUUCAACUUGGAUUGUAAGUAAUUGGAAAGAUUAAGAGAUUUGCUAAUGUAGCUUAGGCACUUGAAUUCUUUACAAUUGCUCCAGCCCUUGUGAUUCCAAAAUCCAUUUUAAAUGCUGGUUUAGAUGCUUCUCAGAUUGAUUACUAUGAAAUAAGCAUUUUUUUGUUAUAGCUCUAGCCAAUCAAAAGCUGCUUGGUUGUAAUCCUAAUGCCUUAAUGUACAUGGUGGGGCUGUAUCAUUGGGACACUCACUUGGAUACAGUGGAGCUAGUAUCUUGGUCACAUUGUUAGAGGUACUGAGACAUUAAAAUGUAAAGUACGGGGUUGGUGCCAUAUGAAAUGGUGGUGGGGGAGCUUCUUCACUUGUUCUUGAGCUCAUAAUUCAUUGCUGUUAAACUGUUGGACAGGUGAUGUUGGGUGUUGAUCGUCUUGACAUGAUCAAAGGAAUCCCACAGAAGAUUUUGGCUUUCGAAAAGUUCCUAGAGGAGAAUCCAAGCUGGCGUGAUAAAGUAGUUCUACUUCAAAUUGUUGUGCCAACAAGAGCAGAUGUUCCAGAAUGUAUGUUCAUUAUCAAAAUAUGUUCCUACCCACUGUCUGUUAUGCCUAUUUUUUUUUAAGUCUAUCUGUAGUUUGUUGUCUAAUGUUAUUUCAAUCAUAUGACUAUCAUUAAAUUUAUAUCAUCUCAAUCAAUUUAUAAAUAAUAGAGUUGUUUAUUAUUGUAUAAUACAGAUCAAAUACACACACAAUGUUAUUGGUAUUGUGUGAUUAGUUAAUAUAAUCGAUUGCUAAUUUUAUGUAA